AGUGAACGCUGGCGGUAGGCCUAACACAUGCAAGUCGAACGGCAGCACAGUAAGAGCUUGCUCUUACGGGUGGCGAGUGGCGGACGGGUGAGGAAUACAUCGGAAUCUACUUUUUCGUGGGGGAUAACGUAGGGAAACUUACGCUAAUACCGCAUACGACCUACGGGUGAAAGCAGGGGAUCUUCGGACCUUGCGCGAUUGAAUGAGCCGAUGUCGGAUUAGCUAGUUGGCGGGGUAAAGGCCCACCAAGGCGACGAUCCGUAGCUGGUCUGAGAGGAUGAUCAGCCACACUGGAACUGAGACACGUUCCAGACUCCUACGGGAGGCAGCAGUGGGGAAUGUUGGACAAUGGGCGCAAGCCUGAUCCAGCCAUACCGCGUGGGUGAAGAAGGCCUUCGGGUUGUAAAGCCCUUUUGUUGGGAAAGAAAAGCAGCAGGUUAAUACCCCGCUGUUCUGACGGUACCCAAAGAAUAAGCACCGGCUAACUUCGUG
rnacentral:rRNA from 1 species